GGAAUGUAAUUCAGGAAAAAGUGAUAAAAUAAUAACAUUGUCAAAAACCAGUCAAAAACACACAUGAUAUUUAAAUAUACAUUUAUAGAAUGCUAGAAUAAGGAAAAAGGUCAUGAACAUGUGAGUUUAAAAUAUUAACAUGAACUGUAUAUAUUGUUGUAUCCUAAAGGCACCCAUGGGUUGUAUGGGUUUGACUCCGCCUGUAGAAGGGCCCCGGGGCAUGUUAGCUACAC
rnacentral:lncRNA from 1 species